GUCAGCAGCCAUACAACCUCCACUUCAGCUUAAAUAAUCUAGCUGAAGCGAAGCAGGUUUGGGCCUGGCCAGUAUCUGGAUGGCAGACCAACUACGAAAGCUGGGUUGCUGCUGGAA
rnacentral:rRNA from 1 species